GGGGCCGUAACUCAUUCGGUACAGCGCCUGCUUUGCAAGCACGAUGCCAGCGGUUCGAUUCCGCUCGGCUCCA
rnacentral:tRNA from 1 species